AUUGAACGCUGGCGGCAGGCUUAACACAUGCAAGUCGAGCGGAGAUGAGGUGCUUGCACCUUAUCUUAGCGGCGGACGGGUGAGUAAUGCUUAGGAAUCUGCCUAUUAGUGGGGGACAACAUUCCGAAAGGAAUGCUAAUACCGCAUACGCCCUACGGGGGAAAGCAGGGGAUCUUCGGACCUUGCGCUAAUAGAUGAGCCUAAGUCGGAUUGGCUAGUUGGUGGGGUAAAGGCCUACCAAGGCGACGAUCUGUAGCGGGUCUGAGAGGACGAUCCGCCACACUGGGACUGAGAUACGGCCCAGACUCCUACGGGAGGCAGCAGUGGGGAAUAUUGGACAAUGGGCGGAAGCCUGAUCCAGCCAUGCCGCGUGUGUGAAGAAGGCCUUUUGGUUGUAAAGCACUUUAAGCGAGGAGGAGGCUACCUGGAUUAAUACUCUAGGAUAGUGGACGUUACUCGCAGAAUAAGCACCGGCUAACUCUGUGCCAGCAGCCGCCGUAAUAC
rnacentral:rRNA from 1 species